GCUCUGCUAGUGUUUGUUGAGGGACUAGAAGACAAAACCCCUGAGAUAAGGGCAGGUGCUUGUGAGGCACUGGGCAAGUUAGAGGCAUUGGAGAGCAUCGACAGACUGUCCUAUCUUUGCCAGACUGAUACCUCAACUGUUGUUAGGGUCAGGUCAAAGCAAGCCCUCUUCUCUUUCGGUGAAGUUGGUAGACAAGCAUUUGAGGAGAUUCAACUAUCUACCCAUGGUUUCCAAGGACUUCAGGUCAGGAAGUAGGAUGUUGGGUGCCAGAGCUUUGUUCCGUCGGUUGUGUGCAAAGUGAACAAAACAAAAAAACUGGAGAAAGUGCGUUUCUGGGUUGCAGAAAUGUUUUAUUUUUAUUGUUUUUUCAAAAUACCAAUCUAUUUAUAUGCAUGGUGACAAAGACAAGGAUAUCAGAAGCUGAAUCCAUUGAGAUUGAUACCACAUAUAUAGUUUUUUAUUUUGACAACCAUUCCAGAUAUAUAAAUAUAGAUACGAUAUGUAUAAAUGUUAACAAAAUAAAAUCAUCACUUGUAUUUGCAAAUUCAUUUACAGUUAUGUACAAAAGUGUGUGCCUUUGUUUUCUGUGUGUACAAAAUGUCAAAACUUGAAGCAUUUUUUGCUAAGUGCCUGUAGACUGACCACAAGUUCUGAUUGGUGUGCAAGACAGUAUAUCAUUGUUUCAGAUGAAAAUUGAUUGGAGUUUCAGCAUUACUCAUCAUUGAUAUUUAUAUGUCAGUAAGUUUUUAUUGUGCCAAAGUUGCCACAUGUAAACAUGCUUACAGUUAUUUUAAACAUGUACUGUAGUGGCAUUUUGUAACAAUGUACAUGUAGAUAUAAUUUGUAUAUGUUUUACUACAAAAUUUUAUGAAAAAGCACAUGUAUCUAUACACAUUGACUUGGGUACAUGUUGAGCAAAACUUCUGUUCUUCCUUACCAAAGAUGAUUAAAUGGCCAUUUCUUAAAAAAUGAUAUUAUUACAUAUUUGUGCAAUAUUCCUUGAAUCAAAAGGUUUUUACAAAAAAAACUGCUUCCCCGUAAUGUUUGGUCAGAGUUGUGUAAAUGCUUGUUAACAUGGAUUUGACCUCAGUGAACAACCAUGUUUUUGUUUUUAUUGUACAGUUGUUUCCUCCUGUUUAUUUUGUGAGGGUCUGUGCUUAAGAAGAUCAUUAUGCUUGCAAACAGUUAUAUACAUAAGAAAGAUAUAUCAAUUGUUUAUGUUUAUCAUGUUAACCUAGUCAAAUUAUACACAAUAUACCACAG
rnacentral:misc_RNA from 1 species